CAUUGUUGAAACGGAAGCACAGAAGUUGUCAUCAUCCAAAGGGGAGAGCUCUAACAAGGAUUAUUACUUAAUUACCCAUUGUUGAAUCGGAAGCAUGGCAGUCGUCAUCAUCCAAAGGGAAGUGCUCAAACAUGGAUUGUGACACACCCAUUGUUGAAACGGAAGCACAGAAGUUGUCAUUAUCCAAAGAGGAGAGCUCAAACAUAGAUUAUUACUUAAGUUUAAUAUUGAAAUUAGAUUUUCAUCAGUCAGAUAUAAAAUGUAUGUAAAUAAUAUUAAUAUUUAUAAUGAAACAUUAUGUUUUAUAGACACCCAUUGUUUAACCGGAAGCACAGCAGUCGUCAUCAUCCAAAGGGGAGAGCUCAAAGAU